CCCUUAGAUGUUCUGGGCUGCACGCGCGCUACACUGAUGCGCUCAACGAGUUUUAACCUUGCCUGGAAAGGUUGGGUAAUCUUUUUAAAACGCAUCGUGAUGGGGAUAGAUUAUUGCAAUUAUUAAUCUUCAACGAGGAAUACCUUGUAAGCGCGGGUCAUCAUCCCGCGCUGAAUACGUCCCUGCCCUUUGUACACACCGCCCGUCGCUCCUACCGAUUGAGUGGUCCGGUGAGGCUUUGGGAUCUGAGCGGAAAGAGCGUUUCGCUGUUUCUGCUCGGAAAACUCAGUCGAACCUUAUCAUUUAGAGGAAGGAGAAGUCGUAACA
rnacentral:rRNA from 1 species